GCCCGGCCCGGCCCGGCCCGUCCGGCGCGGCCGCCGCGAUGAACAGCGUGGGCGAGGCGUGCACCGAGCUGAAGCGCGAGUACGACCAGUGCUUCAACCGCUGGUUCGCCGAGAAGUUCCUCAAGGGCGACAGCGCCGGCGACCCCUGCGGGCAGCUCUUCAAGCGCUACCAGCUCUGCGUGCAGAAAGCAAUCAAAGAAAAGGACAUACCCAUUGAGGGCCUGGAGUUCAUGGGCCCAAGUAAAGGAAAAACUGAGAACUCCUCCUGAUGUUGGCAGUAUGGGUGGAGUCACUAACAGCAGCCUUUGGACUAAGCACCAUCACCAGUAGGUAACUGUGCAGUAGAGUCUGAUUGUGCCCCCUGGGAGGGAUGGAAGUGCCUGCUCAGCAGCUGAGGAGAAGACUUUUAAUGCAGAGGCUAAUUCAGCCUUUUCUGAGGUACUGACACAUCCGUGAACUUAGAAUUCUCUCUCCUUUAGCAUUACACAUUUCUGUGGUUUGAUCCUCACCCAGGGAUGGGGCAAAGCUUGCCCCUCUCCUUACACCAACACUGGGGGAAAAGGUAUUAUGGACUGGGGACAAAAGAUAACUUCAUAAUUUUGGAAUUACAGUGAGGAAAAAAGAAAGCUUCACUCUCUGCUUUUAAUUACUACUAAUUAUUUAAAGAUUAUACUUUAAAAAAAACUAAAAAGGUGUAGUUCUCAAACAUUACAGCUGGCCUGUCAGCACCACAGCCCCUCGCAGAGCCCAGACUCUGAGUCCUUGUGCAGAGGACCAGGAGCUGCUGCAGCCUGAGGCUGUUGUUCCUGUGCCAGUCAGAGCCAGGUGAGCCACACUCCUGUUCUCAGGUGCAGAGAGCUCCUACAGAGUCAGCACAGGGCUUAAAUACAGCACUGAAAAAACAGGCUGCUGGCAAAGUGCAGCAGGUCUAAGGGAAGCAUUUUGGAGACAGCAUUUUGGAGCAUAUGAAUAGCAUUUUGGAGACAGUUGACUCUGUAGCUUUUCUUUUUUAAGGAAUAAAACAUAAAACCAGUUUGCUUUUCUGUGAUCUUCAUGUAAAGCUAAACGUAAUGUGACUUUGUCAGCUUUAAAACAACUGUGCCCCUCAGUGCCUUGUACUUUCAACACAGGAAAACCUCUCUCAGCAAUCUUUUACUGGUAAGCAGACAAAAAAAAUCACAUGAAAACACAGGGAAGGGCAUCCUGCAGUGCCACAGUGAGAUUUUCUCUGCCAUCCAUCACUCCUUUCCACAGCAAGAUGCCAAAGCAGCUGCUGUGUUCUGCCUUUUGGGAAGAACCACAUUAAUGACAGCUGAGACAGACCUCACAUUGUGCAAAAAAUAUAGAAGUUAUAGUAAGAACUGGAAAAUGGUUUACUUGUAAUGAGCAAAAACUGGAAAAUGAAAGUUGUAUGGGCACAGGCUCAGGCUGGUGGCUCACUAAUCCCUUCUGCUUCAGGCAGCUUCUGCAUGAAACAGUACAUGCUACACAGACAUAAGCAGUAGAACCAAAAUUGUGUUUUCUUCUGCAAAACCUGUGUUUUGACU